rnacentral:rRNA from 1 species
UACGUAGGGGGCAAGCGUUGUCCGGAUUUAUUGGGCGUAAAGAGCGUGUAGGCGGCCAUGCAGGUCAGCUGUGAAAACUCGAGGCUCAACCUCGAGACGUCGGUUGAAACCGUGUGGCUAGAGUCCGGAAGAGGAGAGUGGAAUUCCUGGUGUAGCGGUGAAAUGCGCAGAUAUCAGGAAGAACACCCGUGGCGAAGGCGGCUCUCUGGGACGGUACUGACGCUGAGACGCGAAAGCGUGGGGAGCGAACAGG